CCUCAAAUCCUUGGCUAUUUCUAGAACUGAGCAUGAGGAGACCAAGAAUGUAAUGAACUCAACAGAUGGCAACAUCUAGGGGUGGUGGCAGAAAUUUCAAGUUAUCUAAUGCUCAGGAGAGGGGUUUUCCAUUGGACUCCCAAAAGGGACAUGCACUGUUGGGGUUUUAAAUUUAUGUACAGCUAAAAUAUAACAUGGCAACUGCACAAAGGAUAGGACUAUGAGUUCAAUAAAAUUAUGCAGUUGAAGUGUUUUUAUAUUACAUACCUGUGGAGUGUUAUAAUAUUAAACCAAGUUAGACAAUAGUAAGCAAACACUGCAUGUGGUAAUCUCUAUAGCAACCACUAAAGACAUAAUACAAAGGAAAAAGGUUUGGCUAAAAAGCCAAUAGAAUAGAUAGAAUCAAAUAGUUAAAAAAACUUGAUAUAGGAAUGGUAACUUUACUUAUAAAUAUUCUUAAACAAACAUUAAUAAUGUAAGAAAUAAACAUAAAGAUUAUAAUUUUUCUUAAAAGAUAGCUUUAUUUCAUGCCACUUUAGAUCAAAGAAACAUUUUAUUUACAAAAAAGUUGUCAUUUUAAUGAGGCUUGAAGACUAUGGUCAUAUGCUUUUUGUCAAAACAUCAAAAAUAACAUCACUCUAAAAUAUGAUUUAUCUAUAACACAAGUUUGUACUGUUGUCCUCAUGAAAAAAUUGUAACAGUGAGAAAAUUAUGACAGUGAAAGAGAUCUGACCCAACCAACUCCAUCUUGCUUCUAGCCUCCAAACUGUCCUUGUUCACUCCUGGUCAUAGCCUGAACUAAUUUUGGGAGGAACUUAGUUUAUAGUUUAACUUUGAAAGAAAAAUUAUAACAGCCCUUUCCUGAAACAAACCUCCUUCUUUCUUGGGGUCUAGUCUGCAUUUGUAGGACUAACAAAUCAGCCAUAAGAUUAGAAAUAUGGUUUAGGAGUCAAGCAGCCAGAGGCCCAGAUGAUGUGAACCUCCCCAAAUUGCUCCUGGGGACAACAUCGCUGUUGUACAACCUGAGAUCAGUUCCUGAGAUAUUUUGUAGAUCCUGCAUACCGAUGCACCAGCCGAGGCCACCCAGACUGGUAAUCUGGCUCAACCAAUUCUGCAAUCCCACCCAGGAACAGAAGGUACCAAGAGAAACUCUCUUCAACCCCCUAUGAUUUAAUCUCUGACCCCACCAAUCAGCAUUCCUCACUUCCCAAUCCCAUACCCACACCAAGUUAUUCUUUUUUUUUUUUCUUUUCUUUUCUUUUUUUUUUUUUGAGACAGAUUCUUCCUCUGUCGCCCAGGCUGGAGUGCAGUGGCAUGAUCUUGGCUCACUGCAAACUCCGCCUCCUGGGUUCAAGCGAUUCUCUUGCUUCAGCCUUCUGAGCAGCUGGGACUACAGGCAUGUGCCACCACACCUGGCUAAUUUUUUUUUUUUUUUUUUUUGUAUUUUUAGUAGAGACAGGGUUUCACCAUGUUGUCCAGGAUGGCCACCAAGUUAUUCUUACCAACCCCAAUCCCCAAAUUUGGGGGGAGACUAAUUUGAGUAAUAAUAAAACUCUGGUCUCCCAUACCACCAGCUAUGCUUGAAUUUAACUUUCUCUAUUGCAAUUCCCUUGUCUUGAUAAAUUGGCUCAGUCUAGGCAGUGGGCAAGGAGAACCCGUUGGGUGGUUACACUCAAAAGCAAUAAAAUUGCUUUUGAAAUUACUGGUUUAACUUGCCUAUCUAAAAGUAAGGUAUUAAAAAUGAAGUUAAUUUUUCAUUUUGUAGUGUGUGUAGCUGUUUCACCAUUUUUUGGUGAGAAAAUAAUUAGAUGUUUUGGCAAGAAUGAGGUGUCUUACCAUUUGAGGGUGUCUACAACUUUGUUUAUUGUUUAGUGUAUAUUACUACAAAAGGAGUAAUACAUUUCCCUGGUCUAGUUCUUUAGAAAAAUACCAAAAAUGCUAUAUAGUUAUAUUCAUUAAUAUUUUUCAUAAAUGAGUUUUAAAAUUUCUCAUUACAUGGAAAAAUGUGAUAUAAUUUAUUGAUAAAGUAAUUUUUGGUUAAAAAAAAUACUCGACUGACCCAAGAGGAGACAGGAACAGAGGAAAGAACAGAGAUGACAAAUAAAAAUCAAAUAGCAAGAAAGUAGACUUGAAACAAAUUAUGUUUACAUUACAUUAAGUGUACAUGAAUUACACACUUCAUUUAAAAAACAGAAAUGGUCAGAUGGAUAAAAAAGCAAGACCCAACUAUACACUGUUUAUGAAAGACAGUAUAAAGGUACAGAUAGGUUGAAAGCAAAAGAUGUAUCUUGGAAAUGCUAAGCAUAGAAAAGCUGACACAGCAAUGUUAUUAUCAGGCAAAAUGAAUAUGUGACCCACAGACAAUAAGAAGAAAGUUCAAGAUAGCCCAAAUAAUAGAGUUAGCAAUCAGCAAUUUUAAGGUAUGUGUAUUAGUUACAUAUUGCUGCAUAACAAAUCACCCCAAAUUUCGGGGCCUAAGAAACAAUAAACAUGUAUUAUCAGGAAUUUGGGAGAGGCUUACCUGAGUAGUUCUGGUUUACAGUCUAUCAUGAGGUUGCAGUUAGGAUGUUGACUUGAUCAGGGCUGCAGAAUCCGCUUCCAAGAGGCUGAAAAGUUGAUGCUGUUGUGAGCAGGAAGCCUCAGUUCCUUGCCACUUGAACUUCUACACAGCAUAGCUUAGGAGCCCUCAUGGCAUGGCAUCUGACUUCUCCAAAAGCAAGUUAUCCAAGGGAGAGCAAGGCAGAAGGCUCAGAGCCUGGACUAGUGUGAAGGCUGAACCUAAAAUUGCUUUGUAUGAUAAAGUGUUGGGAAUUUUGAGUUUUGCCCUGAAGAGGAAGAAAGAUAAGGAAUGGAGCCUGGGACCUUAAGAAGAGUGAUCUCUCACAUGCCUUUUUGACUUGUUGCCUGAUCUGAUCUGAGCAGUAUUCUCUUUGUAUUAUCUCAAUCUUCAUGAAAAUCUCUUACACGUAAAGAUUUUGUGUUAUUGUUCAUUUGGGGGAAUGCAACAGGCAGUCAAUGCAACCUGUUUUAUCAGCAAGGUCUUUAUGACCUGUAUCUUGUGUUGACCUCCUAUCUCAUCCUGUGACUUAGAAUGCCUUAACUGUCUGGGAAUGCAGCCCAGUUGGUCUUAGCCUUAUUUUGCCCAGCUCCUGUUCAAGAUGGGGUUUCUCUGGUUCACAUGCCUCUGACAGUUCCCCCCUCCCUUCUAUAAAAGAACCCUUAAUCCUAAGGGUUGCAGAGGGACGAAGAUCAAUCUUUUGUAACUUCUUCAGGAUGAAUAGGGGCAAUGAUAUUCCUAUCUAAUUAUUAGGGUCUCUUACAUUCAGGGUAGAGAGGAACUCAGUCAGAAAGUGUUGGUAUGGCGAAGGUCGUUCAUAACUGAGUUUUGACAAAAGGUGCUAUAUGAAAGAUUAAUAAAUGUUCAGAUUAAGAAAACAUUCAGUAAGCUUAUCCUGCAUUCCUACACAAAGAGUACAACAGCAAUAUCUUCCACAAGAGUAAAACAAAAUAAGAAAAAAUAUGCCAAAUAAACUAAAUUGUGAGGCUUUCCAUGAACUGGGAAACUGUUGGAACCAAGCUGAUAGCUGGCUCCAGUGUGCCCAAAAUUAGACUACCGAUCCAGAUUUUUAUAUUAUCCAUCCCUCUUGUUUCUUCUAAGCAGCAGUCAGAGAGCCCUGCUUGGUUCACAGGAACAAGCAGUCUUUCAAAAUUGCAGAAACAAACUUAAAAAAACUGAUGAGACUAGAAUUUAAUAACAAGGGUACCAUAGUUCUUGAAACAAAAUAUUUCUCUCGCCAGUUUCUCAUUUCUACUAAAGACAAAUCAUGGUAAGACUGAUUUGCUUUAUUAUAUUUGGCCUGAUUAUUUGUAUAAAGUGCAGCAAGGAUAAUUUUUCACAUAAUCUCUUCUUAAAUUGACUCUGAUGGAACUUGGUUGUAUAGAAGGAAUCUCAAAUAAGGCUUUUUUAGAGCCGAACCCUGUCAUGGGUUUGUACCCUCAAAUACCUAGGAGUUGAGUAAAUUUCUCUCCUUUUGAGGUCCCAAGAUAACUUGGGGCUCCUGGACAUGUGAGAAAGUGACAUUCUUUACUUACCACAGGUCAGAAACCCUGUACAGGGACUGUGUAGGCAAGGUAUGAGGCCAGUUCCCCCAGGGGCUUUUACUGGCUCUGUAAGUCUAAUUGCUUAAAGGAAAGCACACCAUUCCAGUUAAAGCCUUGGUAAAAUAACCAAUUUUUCCAAUUGUGUCCUGUUACAAAAGAAAACAGAUUCUUAUUGAAUUUAUGCCAUACUAUAUCACCAUAAAUUAUGGCAACUCUAUUGCCAUAAAUUAAGAAUACUCAGAAAUAGGAUGUGAGGGUGAUCUUGCUGCAACAUCUGUCACCCCAUUGAUUGUCAGGGUUGAUUCAGCUGAUCUGGCUAUCACUCCUUGUGUGUUCCUCCCACAGCUGUGUGCUCAGUUGAAGAGGAUGACCAUCCCCAGUAGAGGAGGACAGGUCUUCGGUCAAGGGUAUAUGAGUAGCCGCUCUCCCCUGCUAGAACCUCCAAACAAGCUCUGACGAAUACUCAAAAAUAUUUUCCAAAUUCUGGAGAAAUCAGCUACAGUGAAACAAAUAUGCUCCAAAUUUUGUUAAUAGGAGUAUACUUUACUCAAUUGCUAAAAGCUGUAAAUAGCUCAAAAAGAAAAGUUUCCUUGAGUCUGAAAAACAAAACAAAGGAUCAGCCACAUUUUAAGCAAAAGUUAAAAAGAUUACUUCAAUUUUUUAUUGACUCAGUUAAUUUAGUUAACUCCUGUUUGGCUUGAUAUUCAUGAACAAUUCAGUUCUCCAUGAGAGUCCUGAAAGUUUUUUUUUUCUCAAUUCUGAUGUCACCAUCUCCAAAGUCAUUUUAAAAACCUGCGUUCAAGAACACCUGCUAGAGUUCUUUUUUUUUUUUUUUUUUUUUUUGAGACAGAGUCUCACUCUGUCACCCAGGCUGGAGUGCAGUGGCAUGAUCUUGGCUCACUGCAAGCUCCGUCUCCUAGGUUCACGCCAUUCUCCUGCCUCAGCCUCCUGAGUAGCUGGGACUACAGGCGCCCACCACCAUGCCCAGCUAAUUUUUUGUAUUUUUAGUAGAGACAGGGU
rnacentral:lncRNA from 1 species